UUAGUCUUAACAAAAAAAAGAGAAUCACAAAAAAAAAAAAUCACUCGAACCCUAGGAACUCCCUUCUCCCUUCUCCCUUCUCCCUUCUCCCAUCGAAACAAUCUCUCUGAAUCACCACCACGACCAUCACCACCGUCCUCUCUCAUCCGCCAGCCAUCUCCACCUUCUCUCUGUCUACCUCGUCUCUUCCUCGUCACCACCGUUCCUCUCCACCGUCUCCUCAUGUCGUAAUCUCUCUUUCUCUCUUUUUUUCCUCUGUUCAAGUCUAACUUCUUUGAUUUCUCCAUCCUGAUCUAUUUUGUGAGUCAAUUUUGGCAUAUUAUGAUGAAAGCUUGUUAGUGGUGGGGUGUUGAUGUUGCCGUAAUCUCCUCCUCGUCACAACCGCUCAUCUCCUCCUCUUCUCCUUCUAUGUUCGUGACAGGCCCACUGUAAUCAAUAAACACGUUUCUUCAAGAAUCUGAUGACCAGAUUCAAGGUUAUUCUAAAGGCUAGGAGACUUUGUUUGGUUGAUAACACGAGUUUCUUCGGAGAUGCAGCAAGUUGGUUUCAGGAGACUGCUAAAGGUAGGAAGGAAACGAAGGCUAGAUAGAUAUAGUAAAGAAAACCAACAGGCAUCCAUUCUUGGAGCCAAGACCAAUGGCUAAAAAGUCAUUGAAUCGUCUUCUGUAGAACUUUUGGAAAAGUUUGGUAGGAGUACAGAAUUGUUGAAGCUAGAAGAUUUGAUUGAACAACUUAAUGCUAGAACUGUAGCCGUUUCACCAUUCUCGUAUGAUGUUAAGAGGGAAGACGUGGAAGCCUUCUUCAGUCAGUAUGGAAAGUGUGAGACGUGGAAGCCUUCUUCUGCAACACUAAACCAAAGGUGGGAAGAGCGUUGGAUGAUGGUUCUAGUAAUCACUCUUUUCCCUUUUAAAGUAAUGCGUCCAGGCCGCUUGUACCUCCUGGUUUUGCUAGCACAAUUUCGGAAAGAGCAAGGGGCAAAACCUCAAUCAGGAGACAGAACUUAACUUCGACUUCCAUGGAGUUCUGCCUUGCCCAACGGAGUACAUGGCUGUGGGCGUCAAGGAGAGGUAGCAGAAGCGGUGUGUGCCUGGAAGACAGCCACCUCGGAGUUCUGUGAGGAAGAAGAAGAUCAGUGAAAUCCAGAGAGGAGGAGGCUUGAAGAUUGAAGAUUGAAGAUUGAACCUUAGGUUUAGUUUUUUUUCUAGGUUUACUUUAUUUUCUAGUUCUGAUUUGUUUUUGUAAACCAGAAUUUACUUGUAAACCAGAAAUAGAUUAAUAAAUAAAAUUUAAUUUUUAAUUAUAAA